GGUUGUCGUUUGUUUAUGUGUUACAUAUUUGUUUUUCGUUCAUUUUUUUUACAUAAAUAAGGCCGUUAGUUUUCUCGUUUGAAUUGUUUUACUUUGUCUUAUCGGGGCCUGUUAUAGCUGACUAUGCGGUAUAGGCUUUGCUCAUUGUUGAAGGCCGUACGGUGACCUAUAGUUGUUAAUGUCUGUAUCAUUUUGGUCUUUUGUGGAUAGUUGUCUCAUUGGCAAUCAUACCACAUCUUCUUUUUUAUA
rnacentral:lncRNA from 1 species